rnacentral:rRNA from 1 species
GCCUAGCCCUAAACCUUGGUAAUAUAUCACAUACCCUACCCGCCUGGGAACUACGAGCACCAGCUUAAAACCCAAAGGACUUGGCGGUGCUUUAGACCCCCCUAGAGGAGCCUGUUCUAGAACCGAUAACCCCCGUUCAACCUCACCCUCCCUUGUUUAUCCCGCCUAUAUACCGCCGUCGUCAGCUUACCCUGUGAAGGACUAAAAGUAAGCACAACUGGUACAACCCAAAACGUCAGGUCGAGGUGUAGCGCAUGGGAGGGGAAGAAAUGGGCUACAUUCCCUAUAUUAGGGAACACGAACGGCGCACUGAAACACGCGCCUGAAGGAGGAUUUAGUAGUAAGCGGAAAAUAGCGUGUUCCGCUGAAAUCGGCCCUGAAGCGCGC